rnacentral:rRNA from 1 species
ACUCCUACGGGAGGCAGCAGUGGGAAUAUUGCACAAUGGGAAGCCCAUCGAUGCAGCCAUGCCGCGCUGUGUUGAAGAAGGCCAAUUCGGGCUUUGGUUAAAGACACUUUUCAGUCGUGAGGAAGGUAGUGUAGUUAAUAGCUGCAUUAUUUGACGUUAGCGACAGAAGAAGCACCGGCUAACUCCGUGCCAGCAGCCGCGGUAAUACGGAGGGUGCGAGCGUUAAUCGGAAUUACUGGGCGUAAAGCGCAUGCAGGUGGUUUGUUAAGUCAGAUGUGAAAGCCGGC